rnacentral:lncRNA from 1 species
GGCCGAGCUGUGCCGCUCCGGCCCCGAGCAGCGAGGGGUUCUACAUGAUGAAAUAUCUGGUGUUUGGAGCUCCUUUUUGAAGUUCUCAAUAGUGGGAUGCAGAAGCCUAUGUGAAAAUAUCUGCUUUCAAAUUCAGUGUUAGAAGACAUCUAUGAUCCAGCUCUCCCCAGUCUUUGGAACUCUGGCCUGAAGGUAGUUAGAAAUGCAGAUGAAGCUUGAUUAAGAGUAGUGGUUCUCCAACUCUCAUUCUUCAGAGUGGUAGAGCAGGCAAAGAACACUGGUGAUUUCUUGUAGCAUCUUUUCUGGAUUUUU